AGUGAACGCUGGCGGUAGGCCUAAUACAUGCAAGUCGAACGGCCGCACAGUAAGAGCUUGCUCUUACGGGUGGCGAGUGGCGGACGGGCGAGGCAUAGAUCGGCAUCUACUUUUUCGUGGGGGAUAACGUAGGGAAACUUACGCUAAUACCGCAUAUGACCUACGGGUGAAAGCAGGGGAUCUUCGGACUUUGCGCGAUUGAAUGAGCCGAUGUCGGAUUAGCUAGUUGGCGGGGUAAAGGCACACCAAGGCGACGAUCCGUAGCUGAUCUGAGAGGAUGAUCAGCCACACUGGAACUGAGACACGGUCCAGACUCCUACGGGAGGCAGCAGUGGGGAAUAUUGGACAAUGGGCGCAAGCCUGAUCCAGCCAUACCGCGUGAGUGAAGAAGGCCUUCGGGUUGUAAAGCCCUGUUGUUGGGAAAGAAAAGCAGCAUGUUAAUACCCCGCUGUUCUGACGGUACCCAAAGAAUAAGCACCGGCUAACUUCGUG
rnacentral:rRNA from 1 species